rnacentral:ncRNA from 1 species
AUCCAUCUUCGGGGCAGGGUGAAAUUCCCGACCGGCGGUAUUUGAAGAUUCCCUCUUCAUCAGCCCGUGAGCUUAGAAAAGCCGAAACAACCGUUUAGACACGACCAGCACUUAACUCUUGACCAAAGACACGCUUUUUGUGUCGAAGGGCUAGAGGAAAGUGACCUCGAGUGUCUGGUUGAUUGAGGCUAGACAUCGUAGCGAUGUAAUACUUUGCUGAUCUGGUGUAAUUCCAGAGCCGACAGUAUAGUCUGGAUGGGAGAAGAUGUAG